rnacentral:rRNA from 1 species
GACAGAGGCCUCGAGCGUUAGGCGGAAUCACUGGGCUUAAAGCGUGUGUAGGCGGGCCCGUAAGUGUCUUGUGAAAUCCCCCGGCUCAACUGGGGAACUGCACGGGAAACAGCCGGGCUUGAGUUCGGGAGAGGGAAGCGGAAUUCCGGGUGUAGCGGUGAAAUGCGUAGAUAUCCGGAGGAACACCGGUGGCGAAGGCGGCUUCCUGGACCGAUACUGACGCUGAGGCGCGAAAGCUAGGGGAGCAAACGGG